rnacentral:rRNA from 1 species
CAUGUAGGCGGCAUGACAAGUCUGGUGUGAAAUAUCUCGGCUCAACCGAGAAAACGCACUGGAAACUGUCAAGCUUGAGUAUCGGAGGGGAAGCUAGAAUUCCUGGUGUAGGGGUGAAAUCUGUAGAUAUCAGGAAGAAUACCGGUGGCGAAGGCGAGCUUCUGGCCAGAUACUGACGCUGAGAUGCGAAAGCGUGGGGAGCGAACAGGAUUGAUACCCUGGUAGUCC